AAGGUCCCCAAGGGGUACAUCCCGCUGGCGCUGGUGGGCGAGGAGGGGAACGGCGACGAGCGGGUGCUGGUGCGCAUCGGCGCGCUCAAGGAGCCGUGUAUGGCAGCGCUGCUGGAGAUGGCCGCGCAGCAGUUCGGCUACGGUCAGCCCGGCGUCCUCAGGAUCCCCUGCGACGCACAGCAGUUCCACCAAAUAGUCAGCGCCAUGUGCAGCAAGAGCAAAGCCACAUAG
rnacentral:rRNA from 1 species